rnacentral:pre_miRNA from 1 species
CUUGUACUCCCUCCAUCCGAAAAUACUUGUCAUUGAAAUGGAUGUAUCUAGAUGUAUUUUAGUUCUAGACACAUCCAUUUUGAUGACAAGUAGUUCCGAACGGAGGGAGUACUUU